AUGCCUUAAACUUAUGAGUAAGGAAAAUAAUGAUUCUAGGUGAUACCCAAAUGCUCACUAAUGUGAAAUGAAUUUUUGAGCAAAUAAAAGACAUUCCUAAGGUGGACAGCUGCCUACUGUGUAAGAUGCCUGGGUGCUACAAUCUG